rnacentral:rRNA from 1 species
GACGAACGCUGGCGGCGUGCCUAAUACAUGCAAGUCGAACGCAGUGGGGACGGGUGAGUAACACGUGGGUAACCUCCCAUCAGAGGGGAUAACACUUGGAAAUAGGUGCUAAACCGAUACUGAUGGAUGGUCCCGCGGUGCAUAGACUAGUUGGUGGGGGAACGGUUCACCAAGGCCACGAUGCAUAGCCGACCUGAGCGUAUGAUCCGCAACACGGGUGCUGAGACACGGCCCAGACUCCUAGGGGAGGCAGCAGUAGGGAAUCUUCGGCAAUGGGCGGAAGUCUGACCGAGCAACGCCGCGUGAGUGAAGAAGGUUUUCGGAUCGUAAAACUCUGUUGUUAGAGAAGCGGUAUCUAACCAGAAAGCCACGGCUAACUACGUGCCAGCAGCCGCGGUAAUAC